rnacentral:rRNA from 1 species
GAUGAACGCUGGCGGCGUGCCUAAUACAUGCAAGUCGAGCGAACAGACGAGGAGCUUGCUCCUCUGACGUUAGCGGCGGACGGGUGAGUAACACGUGGAUAACCUACCUAUAAGACUGGGAUAACUUCGGGAAACCGGAGCUAAUACCGGAUAAUAUAUUGAACCGCAUGGUUCAAUAGUGAAAGACGGUUUUGCUGUCACUUAUAGAUGGAUCCGCACCGCAUUAGCUAGUUGGUAAGGUAACGGCUUACCAAGGUAACGAUGCGUAGCCGACCUGAGAGGGUGAUCGGCCACACUGGAACUGAGACACGGUCCAGACUCCUACGGGAGGCAGCAGUAGGGAAUCUUCCGCAAUGGGCGAAAGCCUGACGGAGCAACGCCGCGUGAGUGAUGAAGGUCUUCGGAUCGUAAAACUCUGUUAUUAGGGAAGAACAAAUGUGUAAGUAACUAUGCACGUCUUGACGGUACCUAAUCAGAAAGCCACGGCUAACUACGUG